rnacentral:rRNA from 1 species
UACGGAGGGUGCGAGCGUUGUCCGGAAUCACUGGGCGUAAAGGGCGCGUAGGUGGCGCGACAAGUCAACGGUGAAAGCUCGGCGCUCAACGCCGAGUCGGCCGUCGAUACUGUUGGGCUGGAGCACUGUAGAGGCUCAUGGAAUUCCGGGUGUAGCGGUGGAAUGCGUAGAGAUCCGGAAGAACACCGGUGGCGAAGGCGGUAAGCUGGGCAGUUGCUGACACUGAGGCGCGACAGCGUGGGGAGCAAACAGG